AUAGGAAAAGUAAAGGCAUCUUUACUUUUUUAAAAGACCUUCUUUGGAGGUAUGCUUAAGGAGGGGCUUGCGACACAUUAGUUAGUUGGCAGGGUAAAGGCCUACCAAGACUAUGAUGUGUAGCUGGACUGAGAGGUUGAACAGCCACAUUGGGACUGAGACACGGCCCAAACUCCUACGGGAGGCAGCAGUAGGGAAUUUUCGGCAAUGGAGGAAACUCUGACCGAGCAACGCCGCGUGAACGAUGAAGUACCUCGGUAUGUAAAGUUCUUUUAUUAAGGAAGAAAAAAGAGUGGAAAAACUCCCUUGACGGUACUUAAUGAAUAAGCCCCGGCUAAUUAUGUGCCAGCAGCCGCGGUAAUACAUAAGGGGCGAGCGUUAUCCGGAAUUAUUGGGCGUAAAGGGUGCGUAGGCGGUUUAAUAAGUCUAUAGUUUAAUUUCAGUGCUUAACGCUGUUGUGCUAUAGAAACUGUUUUACUAGAGUGAGAUAGAGGCAAGCGGAAUUCCAUGUGUAGCGGUAAAAUGCGUAAAUAUAUGGAGGAACACCAGAGGCGUAGGCGGCUUGCUGGGUCUUUACUGACGCUGAGGCACGAAAGCGUGGGGAGCAAACAGGAUUAGAUACCCUGGUAGUCCACGCCGUAAACGAUGAGUACUAAGUGUCGGGUAAAACCGGUACUGAAGUUAACACAUUAAGUACUCCGCCUGAGUAGUACGUACGCAAGUAUGAAACUUAAAGGAAUUGACGGGACUCCGCACAAGCGGUGGAUCAUGUUGUUUAAUUCGAAGAUACACGAAAAACCUUACCAGGUCUUGACAUUUUCUUGCGAAGUUAUAGAAAUAUAAUGGAGGUUAUCAGGAAAACAGGUGGUGCAUGGUUGUCGUCAGCUCGUGUCGUGAGAUGUUAGGUUAAGUCCUAAAACGAGCGCAACCCUUGUCGUUAAUUGCCAGCAUGUAAUGAUGGGGACUUUAACGAGACUGCCAAUGAAAAAUUGGAGGAAGGUGGGGAUUACGUCAAAUCAUCAUGCCCCUUAUGAUCUGGGCUACAAACGUGAUACAAUGGUUGAUACAAAGAGUAGCUGAAACGCGAGUUCUUAGCCAAUCUCACAAAAUCAAUCUCAGUUCGGAUUGAAGUCUGCAACUCGACUUCAUGAAGUUGGAAUCGCUAGUAAUCGCGAAUCAGCAUGUCGCGGUGAAUACGUUCUCGGGGUUUGUACA
rnacentral:rRNA from 1 species